rnacentral:rRNA from 1 species
CAGCCGCCACGGUAAUACAGAGGGUGCAAGCGUUAAUCGGAUUUACUGGGCGUAAAGGGCGCGUAGGUGGUUAUUUAAGUGAGAUGUGAAAGCCCCGGGCUUAACCUGGGAACUGCAUCUUAUACUGGGUAACUGGAGUGCAGUAGAGGGUAGUGGAAUUUCCGGUGUAGCGGUGAAAUGCGUAGAUAUCGGAAGGAACACCGAUGGCGAAGGCAGCCCCCUGGGCCAACACUGACGCUCAUGCACGAAAGCGUGGGGAGCAAACAGGAUUAGAUACCCGCGUAGUCCCUGUCUCUUAUAC